rnacentral:rRNA from 1 species
UUUAGGGGUAAACGGGAGAAUUCCGAAAAUUUUAAAGGAAGUGAUUCACGUAAAAUCUAUAUUAUACUAUAUGUGUUGAUUGAUUAUUAUUAAACUCCUUGUAUUCAAUUUAUUUUGUUAUAUAAGGGUUUCGUUUAAUAGUGACAAUUCUCAUAUAUAUUGAAUUAUAAUAUAGUUUACCGCAUUUCAAUCUUCCUUAAUAAACGUUGCGACCCAUUGGAUUACAGUCCAAGAUGAAAUAGGAUUAGUCCCGUAGAAGCAUGUAUUUUAUUUUUAAUAAAAUAUAUUGUUUGUUCUAUGUGGACCUAUUUAAAUAUCUGACUGAUUAUUCGAUGGUAUCAAAAAUAAUAAGAUUCACCCGCGCAUUGACGCGUUCUUGAAUAUUUUUGUAAUUUAUAUUUUUUAUUUCAAUGUGAUUCUUUUAUUUACGGACCUAUAGGCCCGUUUAAGAGUAAGCAUUGUAGACAAAAAUAUUCUCAAACAGUGGUGUAAAUCUCUUUGUCAGCGGCGAAUAUGUUUCGGAAUUUCGCUCGACCC